UGGGGAAUAUUGGACAAUGGGCGAAAGCCUGAUCCAGCCAUGCCGCGUGUGUGAAGAAGGCCUUUUGGUUGUAAAGCACUUUAAGCGGGGAGGAGGGCACCACGGUUAAUACCCGUGAAUGUCGGACGUUACCCGCAGAAUAAGCACCGGCUAACUCUGUGCCAGCAGCCGCGGUAAUACAGAGGGUGCGAGCGUUAAUCGGAAUUACUGGGCGUAAAGCGCGCGUAGGCGGCUUGUUAAGUCAAAUGUGAAAUCCCCGAGCUUAACUUGGGCAUUGCAUUCGAUACUGGCAAGCUAGAGUAUGGGAGAGGAAGGUAGAAUUCCAGGUGUAGCGGUGAAAUGCGUAGAGAUCUGGAGGAAUACCGAUGGCGAAGGCAGCCUUCUGGCCUAAUACUGACGCUGAGGUGCGAAAGCAUGGGGAGCAAACA
rnacentral:rRNA from 1 species